CUCGCGUGCAGGCUAUGCUGCAACCCGUCCCACGGGGGAAGUCCGGUCGAAGUCCGGCGCUGACCCGCAACGGUAGACGGAGGCGCACACGCGGCUCCGUGAGCCCGAUUACCCGCGGCGACGAAGGCUCCUGU
rnacentral:ncRNA from 2 species